rnacentral:rRNA from 1 species
CCUACGGGGGGCACCAGUGGGGAAUAUUGGACAAUGGGCGAAAGCCUGAUCCAGCAGUGCCGCGUGUGUGAAGAAGGUCUUCGGAUUGUAAAGCACUUUCGACGGGAACGAUGAUGACGGUACCCGUAGAAGAAGCCCCGGCUAACUUCGUGCCAGCAGCCGCGGUAAUACGAAGGGGGCUAGCGUUGCUCGGAAUGACUGGGCGUAAAGGGCGCGUAGGCGGUUUAUGCAGUCAGAUGUGAAAUCCCCGGGCUUAACCUGGGAACUGCAUUUGAGACGCAUAGACUAGAGGUCGAGAGAGGGUUGUGGAAUUCCCAGUGUAGAGGUGAAAUUCGUAGAUAUUGGGAAGAAUACCGGUGGCGAAGGCGGCAACCUGGCUCGAUACUGACGCUGAGGCGCGAAAGCUAGGGGAGCGAAUGGGAUUAGAUACCCGGGUAGUC